rnacentral:rRNA from 1 species
UGAGAGUUUGAUCCUGGCUCAGGACGAACGCUGGCGGCGUGCCUAAUACAUGCAAGUCGUACGCUUCUUUUUCCACCGGAGCUUGCUCCACCGGAAAAAGAAGAGUGGCGAACGGGUGAGUAACACGUGGGUAACCUGCCCAUCAGAAGGGGAUAACACUUGGAAACAGGUGCUAAUACCGUAUAACAAUCGAAACCGCAUGGUUUUGAUUUGAAAGGCGCUUUCGGGUGUCGCUGAUGGAUGGACCCGCGGUGCAUUAGCUAGUUGGUGAGGUAACGGCUCACCAAGGCCACGAUGCAUAGCCGACCUGAGAGGGUGAUCGGCCACAUUGGGACUGAGACACGGCCCAAACUCCUACGGGAGGCAGCAGUAGGGAAUCUUCGGCAAUGGACGAAAGUCUGACCGAGCAACGCCGCGUGAGUGAAGAAGGUUUUCGGAUCGUAAAACUCUGUUGUUAGAGAAGAACAAGGAUGAGAGUAACUGUUCAUCCCUUGACGGUAUCUAACCAGAAAGCCACGGCUAACUACGUGCCAGCAGCCGCGGUAAUACGUAGGUGGCAAGCGUUGUCCGGAUUUAUUGGGCGUAAAGCGAGCGCAGGCGGUUUCUUAAGUCUGAUGUGAAAGCCCCCGGCUCAACCGGGGAGGGUCAUUGGAAACUGGGAGACUUGAGUGCAGAAGAGGAGAGUGGAAUUCCAUGUGUAGCGGUGAAAUGCGUAGAUAUAUGGAGGAACACCAGUGGCGAAGGCGGCUCUCUGGUCUGUAACUGACGCUGAGGCUCGAAAGCGUGGGGAGCAAACAGGAUUAGAUACCCUGGUAGUCCACGCCGUAAACGAUGAGUGCUAAGUGUUGGAGGGUUUCCGCCCUUCAGUGCUGCAGCUAACGCAUUAAGCACUCCGCCUGGGGAGUACGACCGCAAGGUUGAAACUCAAAGGAAUUGACGGGGGCCCGCACAAGCGGUGGAGCAUGUGGUUUAAUUCGAAGCAACGCGAAGAACCUUACCAGGUCUUGACAUCCUUUGACCACUCUAGAGAUAGAGCUUCCCCUUCGGGGGCAAAGUGACAGGUGGUGCAUGGUUGUCGUCAGCUCGUGUCGUGAGAUGUUGGGUUAAGUCCCGCAACGAGCGCAACCCUUAUUGUUAGUUGCCAUCAUUCAGUUGGGCACUCUAGCAAGACUGCCGGUGACAAACCGGAGGAAGGUGGGGAUGACGUCAAAUCAUCAUGCCCCUUAUGACCUGGGCUACACACGUGCUACAAUGGGAAGUACAACGAGUCGCGAAGUCGCGAGGCUAAGCUAAUCUCUUAAAGCUUCUCUCAGUUCGGAUUGUAGGCUGCAACUCGCCUACAUGAAGCCGGAAUCGCUAGUAAUCGCGGAUCAGCACGCCGCGGUGAAUACGUUCCCGGGCCUUGUACACACCGCCCGUCACACCACGAGAGUUUGUAACACCCGAAGUCGGUGAGGUAACCUUUUGGAGCCAGCCGCCUAAGGUGGGAUAGAUGAUUGGGGUGAAGUCGUAACAAGGUAGCCGUAUCGGAAGGUGCGGCUGGAUCACCUCCUUUCUAAGGAA